GAUGAACGCUGGCGGCGUGCUUAACACAUGCAAGUCGAACGGAACGGCCCAAGCUUGCUUGGGUACUCGAGUGGCGAACGGGUGAGUAACACGUGGGUGCUCUGCCCUGCACUUCGGGAUAAGCCUGUGAAACUGAGUCUAAUCCCGGAUAGGACCACUCCUUGGUUGUUGUGGUGGCAUGGUUUUUCGGUGUGGGUUGAGCUCGCGGCCUAUCAGCUUGUUGGUGGGGUAAUGGCCUACCAAGGCGUCGACGGGUAGCCGGCCUGAGAGGGUGUACGGCCACAUUGGGACUGAGAUACGGACCAGACUCCUACGGGAGGCAGCAGUGGGGAAUAUUGCACAAGGGGCACAAGCCUGAUGCAGCGACGCCGCUUGGGGGAUGACGGCCUUCGGGUUGUAAUCUCCUUGCGCUAGGGACGAAGCGUUUUGUGACGGUACCGGGAGAAGAAGCACCGGCUAACUACGUG
rnacentral:rRNA from 1 species